ensembl:snRNA U6 U6 spliceosomal RNA
GUACUUGCUUCGGCAGCACAUAUACUAAAACUGGAACAAUACAAAGAAGAUUAGCAUGGCCCCUGAGCAAGGAGGACACACAAAUCCGUGGAGCCUUCCAUAUUUUU